rnacentral:rRNA from 1 species
UUUAUUGAGAGUUUGAUCCUGGCUCAGGACGAACGCUGGCGGCGUGCUUUAGGUAUGCAAAUCUAACGGAUCUGUACUUCGGACAGGAAUUUUUCCAGCCCGGGGGGCGGGUCAGUGGUGAACGGCUGAGUAACGCGUAGGAAUCUACCCACAAGAUGUGAAUAACCCCGAGAAAUCGGGGCUAAUACACAAUAGUUUCCGAUUUAAUCGGAAUAAAGGUUGUAGCAAUACUUCCGCUUGUGGAGGAGCCUGCGUCCCAUCAGCUAGUUGGCGGGGUAAAAGCCCACCAAGGCAAUGACGGGUAGGGGGCGUGAGAGCGCGACCCCCCAGAGGGGCACUGAUACACGGGCCUCACUCCUACGGGAGGCAG